CAGUAGCCACGGGAAUACAGAGGGUGCGAGCGUUAAUCGGAUUUACUGGGCGUAAAGCGUGCGUAGGCGGCUUCUUAAGUCGGAUGUGAAAUCCCUGAGCUUAACUUAGGAAUUGCAUUCGAUACUGGGAAGCUAGAGUAUGGGAGAGGAUGGUAGAAUUCCAGGUGUAGCGGUGAAAUGCGUAGAGAUCUGGAGGAAUACCGAUGGCGAAGGCAGCCAUCUGGCCUAAUACUGACGCUGAGGUACGAAAGCAUGGGGAGCAAACAGGAUUAGAGACCCCCGUAGUCCCUGUCUCUUAUAC
rnacentral:rRNA from 1 species